UUUGGUGCCAGAGGCUCUGGGUCUCGGUAAUUGGGUGAAGGCUCAGGAGUGGGCUGCGCAGCCCGGCGGACAGGCGACGUAUCUUGGCAAUCCAGUACCAUGGGGUACUCUCCCAACCAUCCUUGCCAUCGAGUUCCUCGCUAUCGCCUUCGUCGAGCAUCAACGGAACAUGGAGAAAGACCCUGAGAAGAAGAAGUACCCAGGCGGAGCUUUCGACCCUCUCGGCUUCUCCAAGGACCCUGUCAAGUUCAAGGAGUACAAGAUCAAGGAGGUCAAAAAUGGUCGGCUGGCAUUGUUGGCAUUUGUUGGUUUCGUGGUCCAGCAAUCGGCUUACCCUGGAACUGGGCCGCUGGAGAAUUUGGCUACACAUUUGUCCGAUCCAUGGCACAAGAACAUUGGCGACGUCUUGAUUCCAACAAACAUUUUGCCAUGAGAGCUCAAGAUUACAGAGCUGGUUUUCACCACCUACCAUGUUGUAAAACUCAAUGUAAUCAUCUGUACAACUUGUAUUCCUG
rnacentral:misc_RNA from 1 species